CGUUUGAAGUUCUAUUUAUGCUACUUAAAAAUGUUUACCGAUUCAUUCUAGGGUUUCUCUGGUUGAUCAAAACAAACCCAAAUGAAAAGGGAAGCCAUUGGAGUGCGCUGAAGUUAAUAUAAUCACGACUCUCAGAUCUGGGCAUAUAGCUUCAAUUAAAUGGCAUGGAUAUCUGAUAAGAGAGAAGUGACUCGAUCAUGUUGAACAUUCUGUCUCUCAGCUCUACUUUCCCUGCAUCUUCAUUCUUCUCUAAGUUCUGUAGCUUGUCUCCAAAGUGAACUUGGAGCUUAGACUUUUGGUCAGCCAGAACCAAAAGUUGCUAUUGGGGCCUAACGUUGGUGUGUGACUAUCUCCAUUCUCCAAUGGCUGUAUUCUAAUCUGCUAGUUUUUGCUGAGAUGCACACUGCUUUUUAGCACUGAAACUUUUUAUGACAUUAUUUUGCAGGAUGAAAGACUUUUAGCA